rnacentral:lncRNA from 1 species
UCCUGGGCUAACCUUCGAGCCACGCCUGUGUCCAUGUCUGCAAUAAAAGAAGAUCGACACAGCUCAGAAAUAGAAUGAGAGAAAGGGGAAGCAAAUAUAUAUAAUAAUAAUAAUAAUAAUAAUAAUAAUAAUAAUAAUAAUGAUAGUACCGACAGGAUUAAGAGGGCUCAGGCCGACGUUGAAUAAGAGUUGUUCCUUCAGAAGGUCAGAGAGAAGGGGGGCU